AGGAAAUCUGCCAUUCUUACCCAGUCUGGCCUAGCAAGUUCAGUUCAAGGACAAUUCGGAUGGGCAACAAAUGCUGGCCUUGCCAGUGACGCCCACAUCCCCAUUUAAGAAUAAAGAAAAGAAAGUCGAGAUUUUCAUCUUAAGUAAGUUACUCUGAGGAGGUGGGAAAUGGAACCUAGCAGCUUCCUCACAGUGAGAAUGAAGGUCAUCCUCUGGCUUCUUUCAGGCUGUAAACAGCAUAUCUCAGAACAUCCCACUUGUUCUCUCAGAUAUACUCAGUACAAACACCUGGUGAAUGACAAAAAUUAGAUUUGCAGAUGAUGAAGCACUUGUAGCAAGCACAAAAGAAAGAUUAUAAGAACUAGCAGGUAGACUAGUAACAGCAGGCAUGAACUUUGGAGUGAAACGAAACAUUAGCAAAAGUGAUGCAUAUCUCAAUCACCAAGAAAUAUUCAUAUAUUCAUAGAAGAGAACUAGAACAGGUAAAAGAAUUCAAGUAUUUAGGAAGCAUACUAUCUGCAGACAGGACAUGCAAUAAAGAACUAAGAAUAAGGGUAGCAAUGGGAAAAGCUGCAUUUGGUAAGAAGAGACAGUUGCUAACUAGAAAACUGAAUAAAUUACUCAAAAAUCAACUUGUAAAGAGCUGGCUUUGGAGUGUUGUUUUGUAUGUAUGAGAGACUUGGAUCUUAUGGAAAGAGACCAACCUGCUAGAUAGAUUUGAAUGUGGAUUUGGAAGGGAAUGGAGGGGAUCAGUUGGACGGAAAAAUGAUGAAUGCUGAGCAGAGUGAAUUAACAAAGAAAUUUGCCGAAUGUAAUUAAGAACAGAGUCUGGGUAAAGCACAUCUUAACAGGAAACGGGCUAGUAAGAGACAUUAUGGAGGUAAGAUUUCAAGGAAAAAGAGAAUGAGGAAGGAAGAGAAUAUCAAUGUUGGAUGGCUUGAAAAUUUAAGGGAGUUAUUGGCAAAUGAAAAGACUGGCACAGGAUAGAGAGAGUGGAAAGACAAUGAGGCAAGGGCCCACCUUCAGGCAGAGUACACAUGAUGAUGAAUGACAAAAACAAAGUAAAAAUAAGAGUUAGCGAUGAACAACUGGGAUUUUUGUUCUGGUAAUGGUAGAUUGGUCUUCAUUUUAGAAUAAAAGUAUUAAGUUGUCCAAGUUUUAUUACAAAAUAAAAGUUAUUCAUAACAGUACAAUGGUCUUUAUUUAGCUAAUGAUUGUUCACAUUGGAAGAGUGCAGUCAAAUCUCUGGUCUCUGCAUUGCACAAUAGAAUGUUGAACACUGUAGACUCAAAAUAAUAUUAGUUAAGUUGAGGUUUGAUGAAAUGAGUUUGGUUUUGCUAAAAUGCUUGAAAGAAAUUAGAAGCCAAUGCAUUUCUUCCCAACCCUCCUGAGGUUUGCGAAGGAUGAACUGUUAAAGGAAGUGGGGAGAACCAUUGCACUCUUAUUUGACUGCACAACCCUGGAAAGCUUACACAGCUGUGGAGUUAUAUACUCAGUGUGAAUGCAAUGCAGCUGAUUGGCCACGCUGUUGGUCCUAUAGAGUAUAAACAUUUCAGCUGUGAUCGGUGUGGCCAGGCAUCAUUAGUAGCAAUUAAUUAGUUUGAGUCAAUAAUAUUAAACAAUGAGCACUGCAUGUAUUUAUGCUUACUUGUGCACUGUAAUUACUGUACUCAUUUUAUGGCAUGUACUGCAGGUUUUUGAUGAGCUAGCUUAUCUUCAGCGCCUCAUCCAGUUAUGGUAAGCAAAACUAAGAAGUCAUAAAGAUUUUGUAAUUGAACAGAAUCAGAUUUCACUCCAAGCGUUUUAUAUGCCAUGUUAACUCUUAGUACACAAAUAAAAACUACCUUCCUAA